rnacentral:tRNA from 1 species
GUCUCUAUGGCACAGUUGAUUGAGCAUUGGGCUGCUGGGCAAGAGGUUGCUAGUUUGAGUCUAGCCAGAGACA